rnacentral:sRNA from 2 species
GCAGCGAGAGAACGUUGCCGCAGGCAACGGCCCGAAGGGCGAGGCGCUUUAGCGCCGAGUAAUCCUUCCCCCACCACCA